UACGUAGGGGGCUAGCGUUGUCCGGAAUUAUUGGGCGUAAAGCGCGCGCAGGCGGUUUCUUAAGUCUGAUGUGAAAGCCCCCGGCUCAACCGGGGAGGGUCAUUGGAAACUGGGAAACUUGAGUGCAGAAGAGGAAAGUGGAAUUCCAAGUGUAGCGGUGAAAUGCGUAGAGAUUUGGAGGAACACCAGUGGCGAAGGCGACUUUCUGGUCUGUAACUGACGCUGAGGCGCGAAAGCGUGGGGAGCAAACAGG
rnacentral:rRNA from 1 species